rnacentral:lncRNA from 1 species
AUUGAGAUAAGUUUUUCUUUUAUAACCUUCAUCUUAUCCUCCAAGUGUGCAUACUCCUGACUCCACAUACUAAGUUCAGCACGAAGCAUUUGAUUUUCAAUUGCAUGCUCAGAUUGUGAAGUGUCGGAAGCAUAGGCUUGAGUGGGGGAAGAGACUCCUUGGCGUAAGUUAGCAGCCAAGUCUGUCGUACCAUACACCCGAUCUCUACUCUUUCCUCCAGCAGCUUCCUUCCAAGUUUGAAGCUUAGUUGGAGGAUCAAGUUGGUGGACAUCAGUGUUAGAGUCUUGAGAACUAUUUUCUUGAAGGGUCUUCA